AGUGAACGCUGGCGGUAGGCCUAACACAUGCAAGUCGAACGGCCGCACAGUAAGCGUUUGCUCUUACGGUUGGCGAGUGGCGGACGGGUGAGGAAUACAUCGGAAUCUACUUUUUCUUGGGUGAUAACGUAGGGAAACUUCCGCUACUACCUCAUGUGACCUACCGGUUAAAUCAGUGGUUCUUCGCACCUUUCCUGUUUCUAUGAGCCGAUUUCGCAUUAGCUAGUUGGUGUGGUAACGUCCCACCAAGGCAACGAUCCGUAGCUGGUCUGAGAGGAUGAUCAGCCACACUGGAACUGAGACACGGUCCAGACUCCUACGGGAGGCAGCAGUAGGGAAUAUUGGGCAAUGGGCGAAAGCCUGACCGAGCAAUGCCGCGUGAGUGAAGAAGGUCUUCGGAUUGUAAAGCUCUGUUGUUAGGAAAGAAAAGAAGUAGAAGUAUACAUGGAUGUUUUGACGGUACCCAAAGAGAAAGCAACGGCUAACUACGUG
rnacentral:rRNA from 1 species